CUUUUUCUGUGAUGCGCUGUCCAUAUAAUCCGACUGAUUGGAGUGGGAGUAUCUACGAGGCGACCGCAAUCGUCCUACACUAUGGAAAGCAGCUUUUUUGGA
rnacentral:ncRNA from 2 species